rnacentral:rRNA from 1 species
AUUGAACGCUGGCGGCAGGCUUAACACAUGCAAGUCGAGCGAGAGGCGGACGUGAGAGUUAUGUCUGUGACACUGCCUGAUGGAGGGGGUUCGCUACUGGACACGGUUGCCACUUACGUAUACCUUCUGAUCUGCCCAGAUGGCAUUCGCUAGUAGGUGGGGUAAUGGCUCACCUAGGCGACGAACCCUACCUGGUCUGAGAGGAUGACCAGUCACACGGGAACUGAGACACGGUCCAGACGCCUACGGGAGGCAGCAGUGGGGAAUAUUGGACAAUGGGCGAAAGCCUGAUGCAGCCAUGCCGCGUGUGUGAAGAAGGUCUUCGGGUUGUAAAGCACUGUCAGUGGGGAGGCGUUACUCGCAGAAGAAGCACCGGCUAACUCCGUGCCAGCAGACGCGGUAAUUC